rnacentral:rRNA from 1 species
AUUGAACGCUGGCGGCAUGCUUUACACAUGCAAGUCGAACGGCAGCACGGACUUCGGUCUGGUGGCGAGUGGCGAACGGGUGAGUAAUACAUCGGAACGUGCCCAGUUGUGGGGGAUGACUACUCGAAAGAGUAGCUAAUACCGCAUGAGAACUGAGGUUGAAAGCAGGGGAUCGUAAGACCUUGCGCAACUGGAGCGGCCGAUGGCAGAUUAGGUAGUUGGUGGGAUAAAAGCUUACCAAGCCGACGAUCUGUAGCUGGUCUGAGAGGACGACCAGCCACACUGGGACUGAGACACGGCCCAGACUCCUACGGGAGGCAGCAGUGGGGAAUUUUGGACAAUGGGCGAAAGCCUGAUCCAGCAAUGCCGCGUGCAGGAUGAAGGCCUUCGGGUUGUAAACUGCUUUUGUACGGAACGAAAAGCUUCGGGUUAAUACCCUGGAGUCAUGACGGUACCGUAAGAAUAAGCACCGGCUAACCACGUGCCAGCAGCCGCGGUAA